rnacentral:rRNA from 1 species
GAUGAAGCUGGCGGCGUGCUUAACACAUGCAGUCGAACGAAGUGGCGGACGGGUGAGUAACGCGUGGGGAACCUGCCUCAUACAGGGGGAUAACAGUUGGAAACGACUGUUAAUACCGCAUAGUAUGAGAUGGACCCGCGUUCGAUUAGCCAGUUGGCGGGGUAACGGCCCACCAAAGCGACGAUCGAUAGCCGAUUUGAGAGAAUGACCGGCCACAUUGGGACUGAGACACGGCCCAAACUCCUACGGGAGGCAGCAGUGGGGAAUAUUGCACAAUGGGGGGAACCCUGAUGCAGCGACGCCGCGUGAGUGAAGAAGUAUUUCGGUAUGUAAAGCUCUAUCAGCAGGGAAGCGGUACCUGAGUAAGAAGCCCCGGCUAACUACGUGCCAGCAGCCGCGGUAAUUC